CUUUCGAGCAAUGAUCAAACGU
rnacentral:miRNA from 1 species